UACGAAGGGGGCUAGCGUUGUUCGGAAUUACUGGGCGUAAAGGGCGCGUAGGCGGCCUGCUAAGUCGAACGUGAAAUCCCCGGGCUCAACCCGGGAACUGCGUCCGAGACUGGCGGGCUUGAAUCCGGGAGAGGGAUGCGGAAUUCCAGGUGUAGCGGUGAAAUGCGUAGAUAUCUGGAGGAACACCGGUGGCGAAGGCGGCAUCCUGGACCGGAACUGACGCUGAGGCGCGAAAGCGUGGGUAGCAAACAGG
rnacentral:rRNA from 1 species